rnacentral:rRNA from 1 species
AACCUUUAGCCAUCAAACCAGUAUUAAAGGCAACGCCUGCCCAGUGAAUAAUUAAACGGCCGCGGUACCCUAACCGUGCAAAGGUAGCGUAAUCACUCGUCUAUUAAUUGUAGACCUGUAUGAAAGGCAUAAUGAGGGUCUAACUGUCUCUUAUAGUAAAUCAAUUAAACUGAUCUCCCAGUCCAAAAGCUGGAAUACCCACAUAAGACCAGAAGACCCUGUGAAGCUUAAACUACACUAUUAAAUCCCAUAAUAGCUCCUUUCGGUUGGGGCGACCUUGGAAAAAAAAAGAACUUCCAAAAACAAGUUUAUUACCAUAACUUCUCAGGCUAACAAGCCUACCUUUGACCCAGCAAAACUGAUAAUUGAACCAAGUUACUCCAGGGAUAACAGCGCCAUCUUCUUCAAGAGCCCAUAUCAAAAAGAAGGUUUACGACCUCGAUGUUGGAUCAGGACAUCCUAAUGGUGCAACCGCUAUUAAGGGUUCGUUUGUUCAACGAUUAACAGUCCC